rnacentral:lncRNA from 1 species
CCUAAUAUUAAAUGCAUGUUGACGCCAAACGCGCGUCACUUAUGUCGGAAUUGAGCGCACGUAGGCGAGCUGCCUUAAAUGCCGACAAUUUAUUUUUUUCCUAAGUAAUUCCGUGUCCUAAGCCAGGAUAUUUCCCCAAACCCCAUCAUCUACACAUCACGCGCCUGGAAACUGUACGGGGAUGACGUGAACAAAGAGCACACGCUAAGGAGUAAAAGAAGCAAUAGUUACUGCUACUACUUUCCAGUGUCCACAAGAGCGUGGGAGGGCGCGUGGCCGUUGGAUUCCAAUUUUCUUUUUCUUUUUGUGUGUGCGCAGCACCACACUGCUACUACACCUCAUGCUACUGGUAUCAACAGUGGCGACUGCACUUUAACGGCGUAGUAAACCGAAAUAACAAUAUGGUUAAAAAAAAGGGGGUUUGACCGGUUAUAGCCGGUGGAAAAUGGGAAAUGAGAGGGGAUUUGAAGAAGGGGAAAAAGUAUAUGAAGAGGGAUUGAAGGGGAAAAAAAAUUAAGAACACACUGCCCUUUUGCAGUGAGAGAGAGAGAGAGAGUUAAAAAAGAAAAAAAAAAAAAGAAAAUCAUGUCCACAUCCUCUCAAUCCCUCUUAUCAUCUUAAUCCUCGCUCAAGUAAAAUUAGUGACUAAGAAACUAGCACAGUUAUUCUCUUU